rfam:Rattus norvegicus chromosome 18, whole genome shotgun sequence.
UAGGGAGGUCAGGGUCAGGAGCCCUCCCCCCCCUGAGCCCAGGGUAACGCUUAAAGUUGGGGGGCA